AGGGCGCUAGUUACACGGAGUAGACCCGAAGCCCGUGCGAUCUAUCCAUGACCAGGUUGAAGCUAGGGUAACACCUAGUGGAGGACCGAACCGGUAGAUGUUGAAAAAUCUUCGGAUGAGUUGUGGAUCGGAGUGAAAGGCUAAAUCAAGCCGGGCGAUAGCUGGUUCUCCUCGAAAUAUAUUUAGGUAUAUCCUCGGACAACAUAUUUAGCGGGGGUAAAGCACUGACUGGACUAGGGGCCCUACCAGGCUACCAAAUCCAAAAUAGACUCUGAAUACCGCUAAAGUAAGAAUCCGGGAGACAGUUAGUGGGUGAUAAGGUCCACUAGCGAAAGGGAAAGACCCCAGACCAUCAGCUAAGGCCCCCAAAAUGUACACUCAGUGUUAAAGGAUGUGGAAGACUCCGCCAACUAGGAAGUUGGCUUAGAAGCAGCCAUCUUUUAAAGAAAGCGUAAUAGCUCACUAGUCAAGUCAGCCUGCGCCGAUAAUUCAACGGGGCUUAAGUGUACUGCCGAAGCUAUGGAUUCAAGUGAUCUGCGG
rnacentral:rRNA from 1 species